UACGAAGGGGGGCUAGCGUUGCUCGGAAUCACUGGGCGUAAAGCGCACGUAGGCGGCUUUUUAAGUCAGGGGUGAAAUCCUGGAGCUCAACUCCAGAACUGCCUUUGAUACUGAGAAGCUUGAGUCCGGGAGAGGUGAGUGGAACUGCGAGUGUAGAGGUGAAAUUCGUAGAUAUUGGGUGGAACACCGGUGGCGAAAGCGGCUCUCUGGUCCGGACCUGACGGCUGAGGCGCGAAAGCGUGGGGAGCAAACAGG
rnacentral:rRNA from 1 species